UGCUCACAAAAUGGCCAACACCGAACUUUCACCUGGAACAGAAAAUGGACACCGUCAGUUUUCAAUGUAAACAAUUAUGACAAGAAGCAGGAUUACAAAGCUCGCUCAGACAUCCAAGGACUGCCAUCUUUGGUCGUGUGACCUCCGGUGGAAACUGCGAAUGUUGGGGUCAAGUUGUCAUCACAGCGAGAGAAAGGUAAAGUAGCUUUUUUUUUUUACAUACCUUACUGACUUGCAUGCUAACAAUUUGGUCAGCACCGGACUUUCACCUGGAACAGAAAAUGGACACCGUCAGUUUUCAAUGUAAACAAUUAUGACAAGAAGCAGGAUUACAAAGUUCGCUCAGACAUCCAAGGACUGCCAUCUUUGGUCGUGUGACCUCCGGUGGAAACUGCGAAUGUUGGGGUCAAGUCGUCAUCACAGCGAGAGAAAGGUAAAGUAGCUUUUUUUUUUUUUUACAUACCUUACUGACUUGCAUGCUAACAAAUUGGUCAGCACCGGACUUUCACCUGGAACAGAAAAUGGACACUGUCAAUUCUCAAUGUAAACAAUUAUGACAAGAAGCAGGAUUACAAAGUUCGCUCAGACAUCCAAGAAAGUGCUUGGCCGUCUUUGGUCGUGUGACCUCCGGUGGAAACUGCGAAUGUUGGGGUCAAGUCGUCAUCACAGCGAGAGAAAGGUAAAGUAGCUUUUUUUUUUUUUUUUUUUUUUUUACAUACCUUACUGACUCGCAUGCUAACAAAUUGGCCAGCACCGGACUUUCACCUGGAACAGAAAAUGGAGACAGUGAGUUUUCAAUGUAAUCAAUUACAACAAGAAGCAGGAUAAAGUUCGCUCAGACAUCCAAGGACUGCCAUCUUUGGUCGUGUGACCUCCGGUGGAAACUGCGAAUGUUGGGUUCGAGUCGUCAUCACAGCGAGAGAGAGAGAAAGAAAAUGGAGACCAUCAAUUUCAAUGUAAUCAAUUACAACAAGAAGCAGGAUGAUAAAGUUCGCUCAGACAUCCAAGGACUGCCAUCUUUGGUCGUGUGACCUCCGGUGGAAACUGCGAAUGUUGGGUUCAAGUCGUCAUCACAGCGAGAGAGAGAGAAAGAAAAUGGAGACCAUCAAUUUCAAUGUAAUCAAUUACAACAAGAAGCAGGAUGAUAAAGUUCGCUCAGACAUCCAAGGACUGCCAUCUUUGGUCGUGUGACCUCCGGUGGAAACUGCGAAUGUUGGGGUCAAGUCGUCAUCACAGCGAAAGGAAAAAAGUUAAGGUAGCUUUUAUUUACAUACCAUACUGGCUGGCUUGCUUACAAAAUGGCCAGCACGGGACUUUCACCUGGAACAAAAAAUAGAGACAGUCAGUUUUCAAUGUAAUCAAUUACUACAAGAAGCAGGAUUAUAAAGUUCGCUCAGACAUCCAAGGAAUUAGCCGUCUUUGGUCGUGUGACCUCUGGUGGAAACUACGAAUGUUA